rnacentral:SRP_RNA from 1 species
GCUGGGCACAGUGGCACGUGCCUGUGAGUCUCAGCUACUCAGGAGGCUGAGGUGGAAGGAUGGUUUGAGCCCAGGAGUUUUGGGCUGUAGUGUACUAUGCCGAUUGAGUGUAUGCACUAAGUUCAGCAUCAAUAUGGUGACCUCCCAGUAGCAGGGGACCACCAGCUUGUUCAAGGAGGGGUGAACCAGUCCAGGUUGGAAACGGAGCAGGUCAAAACUCUCAUGCUGAUCAGUAGUGGGAUUGCGCCUGUAAAUAGCCUCUGCACUCCAGCCUGGACAACAUAGUGAGAUCCCAUUUCU